rnacentral:rRNA from 1 species
UACGAAGGGGGCUAGCGUUGCUCGGAAUCACUGGGCGUAAAGGGUGCGUAGGCGGGUCUUUAAGUCAGGGGUGAAAUCCUGGAGCUCAACUCCAGAACUGCCUUCGAUACUGGAAGACUUGAGUCCGGGAGAGGUGAGUGGAACUGCGAGUGUAGAGGUGAAAUUCGUAGAUAUUCGCAAGAACACCAGUGGCGAAGGCGGCUCACUGGCCCGGUACUGACGCUGAGGUGCGAAAGCGUGGGGAGCAAACAGGG